GAGAAUACCAAGGCGCUUGAGAGAACUCGGGUGAAGGAACUAGGCAAAAUGGUGCCGUAACUUCGGGAGAAGGCACGCUGAUAUGUAGGUGAAGUCCCUCGCGGAUGGAGCUGAAAUCAGUCGAAGAUACCAGCUGGCUGCAACUGUUUAUUAAAAACACAGCACUGUGCAAACACGAAAGUGGACGUAUACGGUGUGACGCCUGCCCGGUGCCGGAAGGUUAAUUGAUGGGGUCAGCGCAAGCGAAGCUCUUGAUCGAAGCCCCGGUAAACGGCGGCCGUAACUAUAACGGUCCUAAGGUAGCGAAAUUCCUUGUCGGGUAAGUUCCGACCUGCACGAAUGGCGUAAUGAUGGCCAGGCUGUCUCCACCCGAGACUCAGUGAAAUUGAACUCGCUGUGAAGAUGCAGUGUACCCGCGGCAAGACGGAAAGACCCCGUGAACCUUUACUAUAGCUUGACACUGAACAUUGAGCCUUGAUGUGUAGGAUAGGUGGGAGGCUUUGAAGUGUGGACGCCAGUCUGCAUGGAGCCGACCUUGAAAUACCACCCUUUAAUGUUUGAUGUUCUAACGUGGACCCGUGAUCCGGGUUGCGGACAGUGUCUGGUGGGUAGUUUGACUGGGGCGGUCUCCUCCUAAAGAGUAACGGAGGAGCACGAAGGUUGGCUAAUCCUGGUCGGACAUCAGGAGGUUAGUGCAAUGGCAUAAGCCAGCUUGACUGCGAGCGUGACGGCGCGAGCAGGUGCGAAAGCAGGUCAUAGUGAUCCGGUGGUUCUGAAUGGAAGGGCCAUCGCUCAACGGAUAAAAGGUACUCCGGGGAUAACAGGCUGAUACCGCCCAAGAGUUCAUAUCGACGGCGGUGUUUGGCACCUCGAUGUCGGCUCAUCACAUCCUGGGGCUGAAGUAGGUCCCAAGGGUAUGGCUGUUCGCCAUUUAAAGUGGUACGCGAGCUGGGUUUAGAACGUCGUGAGACAGUUCGGUCCCUAUCUGCCGUGGGCGCUGGAGAACUGAGGGGGGCUGCUCCUAGUACGAGAGGACCGGAGUGGACGCAUCACUGGUGUUCGGGUUGUCAUGCCAAUGGCACUGCCCGGUAGCUAAAUGCGGAAGAGAUAAGUGCUGAAAGCAUCUAAGCACGAAACUUGCCCCGAGAUGAGUUCUCCCUGACCCUUUAAGGGUCCUGAAGGAACGUUGAAGACGACGACGUUGAUAGGCCGGGUGUGUAAGCGCAGCGAUGCGUUGAGCUAACCGGUACUAAUGAACCGUGAGGCUUAACCUUACAACGCCGAAGGUGUUU
rnacentral:rRNA from 1 species